CUACACUGUAUUAUACACAUUUGAUACAUACUUUCAACAAAUUCGAAGAGUAUGGAAAUUUGUAUACCGUAUAAUCUUUGAAGCUUAAUAUUUUAAUCCUGCUCGAACGGCUGACAAGACGCUAGCAAGCAAAAUGUUUCCGAAAAAUAGUGAAAUAUCGUUGAAGUUAAGCACAAGACCCGCUGAAACGAGAAUGGAUCACAAUUUAAUAGUGAGUUUGAACAAAUAACGGUGGCUGGGCCGAAGCCGAACUAAUACUCGUACACAUUCUGAUCUCAUUAAGUUUCUUAAGAUUGUUUAUGGUGUUGAAG
rnacentral:lncRNA from 1 species